AUUGAACGCUGGCGGCAGGCUUAACACAUGCAAGUCGAGCGGGAUGAUGGUGCUUGCACUAUCACUUAGCGGCGGACGGGUGAGUAAUGCUUAGGAAUCUGCCUAUUAGUGGGGGACAACAUCUCGAAAGGGAUGCUAAUACCGCAUACGUCCUACGGGAGAAAGCAGGGGAUCACUUGUGACCUUGCGCUAAUAGAUGAGCCUAAGUCGGAUUAGCUAGUUGGUAGGGUAAUGGCCUACCAAGGCGACGAUGGUUAGCUGGUCUGAGAGGAUGAUCAGCCACACUGGAACUGCGACACGGUCCAGACUCCUACGGGAGGCAGCAGUGAGGAAUCUUGCGCAAUGGGGGCAACCCUGACGUGGCAACGCCGCGUGAGUGAGGAAGGUCUUCGGAUCGUAAAGCUCUGUCGGAUGGAAAGAACCGCAUAGGGGUAAACAGCCCCUGUGUCCGACGGUACCAUCAAAGGAAGCACCGGCUAACUCCGUGCCAGCCGCCGCAGUAAGAC
rnacentral:rRNA from 1 species